rnacentral:rRNA from 1 species
UGCUUAACACAUGCAAGUCGAACGAAGCAUUUAGGAUUGAAGUUUUCGGAUGGAUUUCCUAUAUGACUGAGUGGCGGACGGGUGAGUAACGCGUGGGGAACCUGCCCUAUACAGGGGGAUAACAGCUGGAAACGGCUGCUAAUACCGCAUAAGCGCACAGAAUCGCAUGAUUCAGUGUGAAAAGCCCUGGCAGUAUAGGAUGGUCCCGCGUCUGAUUAGCUGGUUGGUGAGGUAACGGCUCACCAAGGCGACGAUCAGUAGCCGGCUUGAGAGAGUGAACGGCCACAUUGGGACUGAGACACGGCCCAAACUCCUACGGGAGGCAGCAGUGGGGAAUAUUGCACAAUGGGGGAAACCCUGAUGCAGCGACGCCGCGUGAGUGAAGAAGUAUUUCGGUAUGUAAAGCUCUAUCAGCAGGGAAGAAAACAGACGGUACCUGACUAAGAAGCCCCGGCUAACUACGUGCCAGCAGCCGCGGUAAUACGUAGGGGGCAAGCGUUAUCCGGAAUUACUGGGUGUAAAGGGUGCGUAGGUGGCAUGGUAAGUCAGAAGUGAAAGCCCGGGGCUUAACCCCGGGACUGCUUUUGAAACUGUCAUGCUGGAGUGCAGGAGAGGUAAGCGGAAUUCCUAGUGUAGCGGUGAAAUGCGUAGAUAUUAGGAGGACACCAGUGGCGAAGGCGGCUUACUGACUGUCACUGACACUGAUGCACGA